GGGGGUAUAGCUCAAUGGUAGGGUGUGUGCUUAGCAUGCAUAAGAUCCUGGGUUCAACCCCCAGUACCUCCA
rnacentral:tRNA from 1 species